rnacentral:lncRNA from 1 species
GGUGCCGAAUCAAUCAAAUACAUUUCAUGUCAAAAGCAAAUAUUCUCUAUCAAAACCAUACAAUAUUCUAAAAGUAGACAUAUAACACCUUGCAUCAAUUUCGUAAUCAAGAAUAAUGCAAUUCGUAAAAUAGAUAUAGAUUGCUGAUAAAUCUAGAAAAGAGGUUACAUUAUUUACCUUGCGAACGCGAUCCACAACAAAUCCAAUUAAUUCCUGCAAAUUCCUCGCAGAACCUAAUAUUCAAAAAUCAUAUUUUUCUUUUAAAAUUCAUCACAACAUAUGUAUACAAAGACUUAAAUUUUAAUAUCCUCCCAUGGCUGGUCCUGCAGGAGUCCCUAGCACCCCGAGUUUGGGUUCAUACCCGUAAACCACCCCCUUUCUUUAUUCAUUUCAUUUUUUUUCUUUUAUUUUUCUUUAUUUUUCUUUCUUCUUUUCUCUUUCCUUUUUCCUUCUUUUGUUUUUCUUCUUUCUUCUUUUUUCUCCCGACUCCCCUCUUCUCCUUCGACGAAACAGGGGAUUUGUGAUCCCCUGCCACCCCCCUUCUUCUUCCCUCUCAGUCAGACUCUGGGGCGACCAUGGUGGCCGGCCCCGACGGCUCUUCUUCGGUGGACUCAAAGGAGAAGGAGAAGGAGCCCUAAAACAGGGGCUCCUUCUUCUUCGGGAUGGAUCCCUCCAUCCUGUUGCCUCACGUGCGCCACACGUGAGGCCAAAACUUGGAACUGGGCCAGUCAAAUGGACCGGGCCCAGUUCCAGGGUCUAACAUCCCCCCUCCGAAAAAAAAAAUUUGUCGUCGAAAUUUGCAUACCUGCUGUUUCAAAAAGUUGAGGGUAUUUCUGCUUCAUCUCAUUUUUCAGUUUCCAGGUAGCUUCUCUUUCUGAAUGGUGGCUCCACUGCACCUUGACAUAAGGUAUAACACGAUGUCUCAAAACUUGAUCUUUUUUUGUCCACUAUCCGCACUGGAAGCUCCUUAUAUGAUAGAUCUUCUCUAACUUGUAAAGGCUUAAGCUCCGUGACAUUACUUGGGUCUGGUAUAUAUUUCUUCAACAUCGAGACAUGAAAAACAUCGUGUACACCAGCCAGAAAAGGCGGCAGGGCAAGUCUGUAAGCCACCUUACCAAUUCUUUCCAAGAUCUCGAACGGACCAACAAAUCUGGGAUUCAAUUUUUCUCGAAUACCGAAUCUUGUAACUCCCUUUGUAGGUGAUAUUUUAAGAAAUACAUAAUCACCAACUUGAAAUUCUAAUUUUCGUCUUCUAUUAUCCGCAUAACUCUUCUGUCUACUUUGUGGAGUCCGAAGGCGAUCUCUGAUUAGCCAAAUUUUCUCAACUGUCUGUCGUACAAGUUCAGGGUCCAACAAUUUUCGUUCACCAAUAUCAUCCCAACAAAUUGGCGAACGACAUUUUCUUCCGUAUAAGGCUUCAUAAAGCACCAUCUGUAUUCUACUCUGAUAAUUGUUGUUAUAUGCAAAUUCUAUCAGAGGUAGAUGCUCAUCCCAAGAACCCUUCAUAUCUAUGACACAAGCUCUCAACAUGUCCUCGAGAAUCUGAAUGGUCCUCUCAGACUGGCCAUCGGUCUGAGGGUGAAAGGCAGUACUAAAAAAUAACUUUGUCCCCAAAGCCUUAUGCAAGCUUUUCCAAAAUUAUGAUACAAAUCUAGUAUCUCGAUCAGAUACAAUGGAUACUGGAAUACCGUGCAGUCUCACAAUCUCUUUAAUGUAUAAUUUAGCUAGCCUUUGCAGACCGAACCCAACUUUGAUAGGUAAAAAGUGUGCUGAUUUUGUUAGCCUAUCCACUAUCACCCACACGGCAUCAUUAGAACUGGAAGUCUUUGGCAAUCCUAUUACAAAGUCCAUGGAAAUUUGUUCCCACUUCCAUAUUGGAAUGUCAAGAGGCUGAAGCGGCCCUGCUGGUCUUUGGUGUUCAGCUUUAAACGAAUUGAGCAAUUUCUCUUUUCAUGUUGUUCCACCAAUACAAUUUUUUUAAAUCUGUAUACAUCUUAGUUUCUUCCGAGUGCACUGUAUAUCCAGACCGAUGGGCUUCUUUAAGAAUUUCUUGUUUAAUUUCUAAAUCCAUAGGUACACAAAUUCUAUUCCGAUACCUCAAAGAUCCAUCCUCAUGUAUCCCGAAUUUAGAUAUAUUUUCUGCUUCUACUGACUCCCGAAUCUUCAAUAACUGCUGGUCAUCAUCCUGAGCUGCCUUGAUCCUCUAUAUGAGUGUCGGCUGAACCUGCAUAUAAGCCAAUUGAGUCCCCGAGCCAAGUACUCGAAUCUCUAAUUCAAAUUUCCUCACAUCUUCCAAAAUAUGUCGUUGGCUGGUAAUCAAAGUGGCCAUAUUUCCUAUUGACUUUCUGCUUAAAGCAUCUGCAACAACAUUAGCUUUUCCAGGAUGAUAAUUAAUUCUUAGAUCAUAGUCCUCCAACAGUUCCAGCCAUCUUCUUUAUCUCAAAUUCAGUUCCUUCUGGGUAAAUAUAUAUUUCAAACUCUUGUGAUCUGUAAACACCUCGCAUCGUACUCCGUAAAGAUGAUGUCUCCAAAUUUUGAGAGCAAAAAUCACAGCCGCUAGCUCCAAAUCAUGAGUAGGAUAAUUUUGCUCAUAAUAUUUUAAUUGUCUGGAGGCAUAGGCCACUACCUUACCAUGCUGCUCACUCUAAUUCAAACCACCAAAUUUUUUUUUUUUGAAUUCACUAAUAACUUUUUUUUUCAAAAUACUACCUUGUAUUUUGAACUAAAGAGAUCCAAAAUUUUAAUUUCCAAGUAAAGCCCAAAAAGAACUUUUGAUUUCGUCCUCUAACUUCCCCCGAGUACAUCCAUCUAGACUGAUCCUCGAGUCAAUUGAUACGUUCAAAAACACCAUAUAGGCUAGUUACUAUAAUUCAAAAUAAAUUGAAUCUUAUUUUUUUUAUUUUAUUUUAUUUUUAUCAACUCAACUAGACGAUUUCAGGUCAAACUUUCAUAAGUAAAAACAACCAAAAGAAUUUUCUCAACACUCCACCAAGAUAGAACAUCUUAAAUGAAUAGAUAUAAGUAAAAUCAACUCAGUCAUCUCUCCUAGAGUUUCCUUCAUCGAGAUCUUUGAUAUUUAUCAAAAAUAUUCCAUCAUAACCAUGCAAGCCUCUAAAAUUCAAAUUCUUUAGGCAAAUCUAGAUUUUAUAAGCAGCCACAACAAUAGUGACAAAAAUUCUAGUUCAACUUAUAAAUCCAAACUUUGAAUUGAAGUUUAAUAAAAUCACGUAGUAUCCGAUAGAGAUCUAUUAUUUGGUUCCAAAUACGACAAUUAAAAUUAUUAAUGAUUAUUCCAAGAUAAAUACUUUACAAUCUCCAAUAAAAUCAAUUCUUCAAUAAGAAAACAGACCUAUUUGUAAUAUCACCCUGCACAUUUUUCUUCUACAUGCUAGUUUCAUUCCUAAUCCACAUAUAGGUUCAGACCUCAAAUAAUAUUCCAAUCAAGCAUUGUAAAAAGGUUUCAUAGCCCAAAUCUUAAACAACUUCAUAUAAAUGGAUCUUAAUUUGCUUCUAAAAAAAUUAUCUUCAAAAUUAAGCAAUAUCAUAGUAUACCUCCAUAUCAAUUUUUGAGUUUACAAGUUCACUUAAAUAAUAAAUAAUCACAAUGCAUGAUAAUAUUCCAUGGCCAAUCCUUGUGCACUUAAUUUAGAUCCAAAUCUAACUAAUUAUAACUUGAUUCAUAUAUUGCCCAACCUUCCAUAAUGUAUCAAACCUCAUAAGUAACCUUCUCAUACAUAAUCAAUCACAAAGCUUAAUAGAAAAUCUUGAAAGUAGCUUACAAUGCAAUUAGCAUAGAUUCACAUCCAAUGCCUUUAGUGUUUACCCACCUACACUCAUCCUAUGUCAGAUUCUUUGUCUUAGAUGUUAUCCACUUAUGCUUUGAUACCACUUAAGUUGUCACGCCCCCGAUCCGAAAUCGUGAGCUGGGGGUCGCGUCAACCGCCGCACACCCGUAGGAAACUCUCCCCACGAGCAAGCAAGGCAUCUUCACCAAACAUCUCAAUUAUAAAAGUCUAAAAUAAUUUAACUAAACAAAAUGCAAUCUUAUUCCAUCGACUAACUCAAGUCAUAGGAUCUUACAGUUCAAAAUACGCAGCGGAACAAUAAUUUACCAACAUGCAGAACCUAGUUCUUAAAAUAACAAAAUCUUGCAAUGUCCAGCAAUCAUAAUAAAUGUCCAAGAUAACAGAUCAACUUAAAUAACCCUAAUCUAAGAUAACUUGUGCCACAUUUUUUCUAGUCGCUCUUCCAUUUUGGAAUCCCAAUAGACUAGUUCUCAAAAUCUGUAAAACAAUUAGAAAUUGUAUAAUGAGCUAAACAGCCCAAUAAGUAAUGAACACUCUAACUAGAUAAAUCAAGCAAUAAUAUGUAGAAAAUAAAUAUAUAUGCAAUUCCAAGGUACAGGUCAAAUAUUUCUUAAAUUCUUAAGAUUCUUUUCAUGGUUUUGAGAUUCUUUUACAUAUUCAAUUUAUCUUGUCGAUCCUGGACUAUGACCACAUGUUCCCUGUGGUAGGAUCAUCAACACCAACUAAUCUUUUUGCAGUGAGUCCUUCAGGACAGUCAAUUGCCAACGUAUCUGCCCCUAUUGGCGGGGUCCUCAUCAUAGCCAGGUCGAAGUUCAAUUAGUUCUCUAUUUCACAAUUCAGUCAUGAAAACAUGCAGUGUCAAAACCAAAUAUCGUUCAUAUAUCAAUUUCUCUCAAUUUAUCAGAUUCAACUUAAUAGCCAGGAACUAUGACCACAUGUUCCCUGUGUCAGGGUUAUAUCACCGACUAUUCUUCUUGCGAUACCAAUGUAUUAGCCCUCAUUGGCAAAGUCCUCAACAUAGCCCGACUGCAAGUCUGAAUCUAUUUCAAGUCAUUAUCUUUUCUUACUUUAUGUUCAGUGUUCCAGAUCAAAAAUACGGUGCCGAAUCAAUCAAAUACAUUUCAUGUCAAAAGCAAAUAUGCUCUAUCAAAACCAUACAAUAUUCUAAAAGUAGACAUAUAACACCUUGAUCAAUUUCAUAAUCAAGAAUAAUGCAAUUUGUAAAAUAGAUAUAGAUUGCUGAUAAAUCUAGAAAAGAGGUUACAUUACUUACCUUGUGAAUGCGAUUCACAACAAAUCCAAUUAAUUCCGCAAAUCUCUCGCAGAACCUAAUAUUCAAAAAUCAUAUUCUUCUUUUAAAAUUCAUCACAACAUAUGUAUACAAAGACUUAAAUUUUAAUAUCCUCCCAUGGCUAGCCCUGCAGGAGUGCCUAGCACCCCGAGUUUGGGUUCAUAC